rnacentral:lncRNA from 1 species
AGGGAGGCGGGGCUAAACCAGACAGGAGCGGAAGCGACCGGGUGCUGGGUGAGGCGCGGCCGUCGGCGGUGAGUCCGGGCCGGCCCGAGCGCAGAGCACAGGUCCCGGAGACGCAGAAAGUCACGGAAGGACUCGGGGGUCCGGAGCCGGCGCCGCUGGCUGUUGCUGCCCCGCCGCCGCCGCGGACGCCCCCGCCCGCCUGCCCGAGGUGCGGCCCGGAGGCCUGAGGCCUAGCGCGGCCCGCGGAGCCCGCCGUGAGUACUGAGAGCGCCCGCGGCCGAGCCGCACCCCCCGGCCGGGCCCCGCGGCCGAGCCCCCCAGCCGGGCCUCCGCGUCCCAGACCCUCCCGCCGGGACCCGCCGCCGCCCCCGGGUUAAGAUGGAGGAGAUCUCCCUGGCCAACCUGGACACCAACAAGCUGGAGGCCAUCGCGCAGGAGAUAUACGUAGACCUGAUAGAGGAUUCCUGCUUGGGCUUCUGCUUUGAGGUGCACCGGGCCGUCAAGUGUGGCUACUUCUACCUGGAGUUCGCGGAGACCGGGAACGUGAAGGAUUUUGGCAUCCAGCCCGUGGAGGAGAAGGGAGCGUGCCGCCUCCCGCUGUGCUCCCUCCCCGCGGAGGCCGGGAGCGGGCCGGAUCAGCAGCUGCAGCGCUCACCCCCAGAAUUCCAGUAGCUGCAGCAUGAGCGAGUCUGGGGGUGACCAGGACAGGGACGCAGACUGGUCUUGUGGAUUGGAGAAUUUAGGUAGCUGAGUAGGAAAAAAAACUCAGACAACAGUCCCAAUUCCCAUUGAAGAUCCUAGCCUUUAUAAACCCAAAGUGGAGAAUUUAGGAAUUAGGAUCCUUUUAUAAGUCUGUUACUUGGGGUCGGCUUUGAAAUCCCGGGCAGGAGGAGCUGUGCGUCCCGCGCGCCAUGCAAUACAGGUGUGUGGCUGUGUGCCCAGCAUAUAAAAUCCUUUGGUUCCUCAGCCUUUGUCUGCCCGAUGUCAAGGGCUUCCUGGAUAACUGACAGUGUGGACAGAACUGAUGGUCAGGCCUCGAUGGUUGGGCCUCAGUGGCACUGCUCCUCUGAGUUCUGAGCCUCUGAUUUGGCCUUCGCCGAGACAAAUGAAGGUCAGGUAUGAGGUCUGGAUGUUAACAAUUACAAUUUGGGAAAACCAAGAGAGAGAAUUCCCGGCUGAAUCUGGUAGGCGAAGCUCUGUGGUCUUGGCUCCAACGAGAGAAAAGGUCAAAGCCACCAGUUUCCCAGAGGUCCAGCAUUUACAGUGACUACAGCGGUCUUGGGGACAAAGUCUAGCCUUCUGCUGAACAGAUCCCUCUUUCUGGCACCCCACCUUGUGGCAUAGGCUUGGCAAAUGGACCCCUUGGUUAUCCAGGCAGGCUGAGAAUUUAGUUAUGAUCUCUUGGGGAAGUAGUGGGGGCCUCUGCAACUAUGCACGAUCUCUCAAACUGCAAGAUUCAUAUCUGGAUCCAUUAUGCUGUGGACAAGCGUUUGGUGGGGCAGUCAUUUUCCUACUCUGUUACUAGUUAUCUAGCCAGUUUGUGAGCCUGACUUGGUCCUUAUGCCAGGUCACUAACUGCCUUCCACCCCAGGGGCAAGACUGAACUGUAGAAGAGCAUCAUGGCUGUGCAGGAGGUUGUGGUUUGAAAGCUAAGCCCGGAGAGGACCUCUUCCAGCUGCCCUCAGUAAUGUGAAUGGGUUAGUGCUAGGAGCCAAGGAGCAGGACUGGGUCAUCUCAUCUGACUGUGCAGUAUCCUGUUGAAUGCCCCUGUUCCUUGGGUUGGGCAGUCACAAAGCUCUGCUGUGGUGAACAUCUAGACACGUCACUCUCUGCCUCUCACAAGGGGCAGCCCUCUCCACUGGGUCCCCUUUGGACCUUCUUUACAAGAGCUGUCCUUUUGUUGUUGGAAGUCAGGAAAGGGCCUCCAGAAAUGCCCUGGUUUCAGGGAAUGGGAUGGGGAGGAUGGGAAGUGUGAGCCGCAUAUCAGAAUUACCCUCCACUUUACUCCCUGAUGGAGGGUUUAUGAAGUGUAGAGGGAUGGGAGCCCCAAGGUGAGCGGGAACGGUGCUGCUCUAUUUGAAAUGUUUUCUUACCUCAUUCUGUGCCCUAGUAAGGGACCCAGCCUCAUCUCUCUGGCUUGGCCACACGUCCCUGCUCCACUGCCUAUUUGGUGCAGCUCAUGACCCCAGGUGCUGCCUGCCACCCUGCUUUCACAUUGACCAGUUUCAUUUCAUCUCUUGAUGCUCCUGCUUCUGAAGCCUGCCCAGUUUCCCUUUCCUUGGCUUCUUUUAAGUUUCUUAUGUUUUUUUCUUCUUGUUUGUGUGGGAGACUCAGAAGAAUCUUUCUUAUGGCUUUCUGUGUUAGGCUUAGGAUGAGAAAGGAACCUAAGUUUUUGUAUAUGAAAGGCAGUGUCACACCUAAGCAUUUCUCCUAUAGGACUGCCUUGCUAGUAUGCCUUCCUGCUCUGUCUUACUUCCUGAGGAGUCAUAUCUCCCCGCCUCCACUUGGAUACCGCCUCUUAGGACUUAGGCAGAAGAGCAGUCAAGGCUGGCUGACACACACAGGGAUGGAGUUGGUCCUGAUGCGUUUUCUUUAACCCUUGCUGUGCAUGUAUCCUUCCUUAUCCCAGAAGGAACCGUUUGGACCAUGUGGACUGAUUUGGGUUACAUACUUUAGAGGAUUAAGGGAACCAUAGUAAUAAGGCCUCAAGACUAUCUGUUACUGCAUUCUCCCCCAGAGUUGUCGUGCUUAGGGUCAGGACCUAGUUACAGAUUGGUCUUCAAUCCAAGAAUUGUGAUAACUUUAAAAAAAAAGCAAGAGCUAAAAUAUCUUGCUUUUUUGGGGUUAUCUGCCCUUUUUGUAAACAUCUCAUUCUAAGGGGAUACAGAGAGUAAGGAGGUUUUAAGUGAGACUGGCCUAAUUUUAAAUAAUGUCUGAGAAACAGGCUGAAGAUAGGACCAUGGUCCACUCUUCCUUCAGAGAGGGAGUGCAGACUGUGACAUUACUGUUUCCUUUCUGGCCUUUUCUCCUGUUAGAGGAGGAAGAAGUGGGGAGUAGUUUUGAGUAAUGGUUGGUUCACGUUACCUCCCUCUUGGUUUUAGUUUUUAUUUUUUUGCCCCCCACUAUUAGGGCAGUAGCCUCCUGCCCUGGAUGGGUGUAAGGUGUGCUAGGUCCAACAGGUGCCCUGAGGGGACAAAGUCUUUUUGGGGAGAGAAUACUCCCUACCAUGUAGUUGACAGUGGUUAGGAACUCUCCCUUUGCCUACCUAUCUUCCCUCUAACAGCAGAAUUUCUCUCCCUCCCUGUUCAAUUAGUGUAUUGAUCACCGUGUAAUUCUAUUAUGUAUCUGAGUGUGUGUGUGUAUGGGGGGAAAGGGGUUCUUUACAAAUUUCUGUGGUUUGUGGCUUUUUCUUCCAUACGUUACUUUCCACCACCGCAUGCCUGGGGCCAUUGCCUGGCAUUGUCGCAUGCUGGGAUCAUUGGGGAAGUGUAGUGAAGCCCACCACUGUCCUUUGUUUUGGAGAUUCUUAUUUUUGCAUAAGUAGUCCAUCCUAUACAGAUUGCUGACUUAACUGUGUAUUCCCCUUGCCCCUAUGGCUGCUGGUGUAAAUAAACUGCAUCUCCCCAUUGGUAAACAAUAAUAAAGUUUUAAAAAAUGACUUUAUUUGGACUUUGUAUGUUCAUCUUUUAAAAUAUAUGUUUUCAGGUAUUGACAUAGUAAAAUAAGUUUUGAAGUAAUUGCUGUUGACCCUUAGUCACUUUCUCUUGAAUAGGAAGUUUUAUCAGACUAGAUGGAGAAGCUCUGCCCAACUUUGUUUUUCCAUCUAGUCCUGCAGAUUUAGCGUUCUGCAACAUCCAGUAAAAGAAACAAACUGUAUACAAUCUUCCCGUUUCCAUAGGAGGUAAGAAGGUGGUAAAAUAUGUAUAACCCAAGCCUAUUACUAAAAGUUCAAUGUGAAAGAUAGUUCAGUUUGAAUGGAAGUCAAGGUAUUGAUGUAUAUAACCAUUUCAAGCCAAUAUUCUUGCUCUCAAAAGGCAAAUCAGCCUUUCUAAAGAUAGCUUUUUCCCAAUACUUUUUAAUUUACCUCAACUCUUGGUCUUUCAUUUUGUUUUUAUAAUAAUUCUGAGAUUUCUCAUUUCUUCCCCUUCUUAAUCCAGAGUUAGAACACUUCCCUUGGAAAUUGUACAUAUGGCUCCUUAGAACUGAUCCAAAUCACUUGUUUGCUAAAUGUUCUAGUUCAUUAAAGAAAUAGUCCAAAUUGGAAAUAAUAUUUAGAUGAAUAAAAAUUAUCAUAGAAAGGGGGCCAGAGGAAACAGUCAGUAGGAUACUUCAGGGAACCUUAUAGACAUGUCACAUGGUAUUGAGUCACGUAACGCUCAAAUCCAGCUGCAGCAAAUACUUUCAAUGCUAUUUUCGUAUGUUUAGAUUUGAAUUAAUAUAUUUAGGGUUAACCUAGUGAGUUUUCUGAAAUGAGAUAUUUGCAAGACCUCAGUGCCUUACUCAACCCACUAGAUGUUAGGACUUUUUUAAAGAUUAUUUCUCUUCAUGCUUUCUAAUUAAUCUUUAUAUUUAAAAAGAAAAAAAAAACAUUGCAUACCUUUUAACUGUAUAACUGCCUAGAUACUGCGUUUUAACUGCAGUAUAUAGUAUGAGGUCAGGAACCUAAUAAAUGCUUACUUGAUGUUGACAGAGAAAAUGCAGUAUGCUCAAGUAGUUAAGGAUUUAGGAAGAACUUUCUUUGCACACAGUUUUGCCUUCCAUUAGGACCUGAGGUACUUUAAAAGAGUUCUAUGAUUUUUACAAGUUUUAUGAAACGAAGGGAAUAUAUUGUAUGCUAAAAGAACGUUUAUACUUCAUUAAACAUCUUUUCACAUUAG